rnacentral:miRNA from 10 species
ACCUGGGUGCGUGGAUGCGUGUGUGUGUGUGUGUGUGUGUGUGUGUGCUUGCGGGAUGCUCUCUCUUCCAGGCAAC